rnacentral:lncRNA from 1 species
CUCUAUCUGUAACUCAGAGUCAUUUGGGAGGAUUCCUUGUUUCCUAUGCAAGAGUUGCCGGCACCUGCAGGAGCACCUAGUGGACUCAUGUGAGUGGCCUGCUGGCCUCUGAGGAGGAGACAAGCUGUGGUCUCGAGGGAACGAGCUGUGGUCUUGAAGGUCGAGAGGGACUUGACCUGCUCAGGUAAGAGUGAGGUAAGCUCAGGACUGAAGCAAAGCUGAGACCCUCUGGAGCUGGCGGUCCCCAUGCUCUUGGAGAGUGAGUGAGCUUUGGCCGGGCAGGUGUGCAGACUGCCCAGGCCCCCACUGUGAUGAUGGCUCUGUGAGGAGCAGAAAGAGCUCCUCUCUCACCUGCCCUCUGAGCACCUGUCUGCUGAGUCCAGACUCUGUGGGGCACCCAGAAAGAGCCUGGGAGGGGACGUCACCAGUUUCCCUUAGCUUCCCUUAUCUCAGCACUUAAGACUUAAGGGCAGUUCUCCUGGCCUAUAGUUUACAAGAUUUCUUUAAUGAGUAUUUUUUAUAUUAACAGCAUUGCCAAAAAUGCCUCAACCUCUUCUCUUUAAUGUAAUAUUUAUAUUUAGUAAAGGCAGUCUAGUUUGUUUUUAUAAUACAUUUGUGUAUUUAAAAUAAUUAAAUUGGGGAGUUUUAAUUCAACGAGUACAGAAUUUCAUUGUGGGAAGGUGUAAGAGGCUUGGAGAUGGACGGCAGUGAUGGUUGUACAAUGUGAAGGUACUUAAUGCCACUGAACUGCUCACUUAAAAAUGACUAAGUUGCUAAAUUUCAUGUUAUGGAUAUUUUAUCAUAAUGGUUAAAAGAAAAGAUUUAAAUAAGGGCAUUGAGUCAGACCUAGACAUAAAUGUUUGCUCCAUUAAUUAAAUUGCUUAUACUUUCUUUUUUUUUUUGAGAUGGAGUCUAGCUCUGUUGCCCAGGUUGGAGUGCAGUGGCGCGAUCUCGGCUCGCUGCCACCUCAGCCUUCCAGGUUCAAGUGAUUCUCCCGCCUCAGCCUCCUGAGUAACUGGAAUUACAGGCGCCUGCCACCAUGCCCAGCUAAUUUUGUAUUUUUAGUAGAGAUGGGGCUUCACCAUGUGGGUCAGGCUGGUCUCGAACUCCGGAUCUAAUGGUAACAACUAGGGGGAACUUAAGGCUAGUUUGUUCAGAGUCUUCUUGGUGUUGGUGUCCCUCUGUGACAUUCCUUCCUGUCUUCAGGAGACGAGCGAGGGAGAAGGAGAAGGUCAGAGUGACCUUCCUAGGUCUCAUGACGUGCUUCACGAAGAAGGGAAUGGGAAAGGGAGAGUGGCCUUUCUGCUUCUGUUUUCUCAAGCGCCGAGAUGCCAUAUUUUGGUGUAGCAUGUUCUGAACCCUGUCACUGUCUAAAGUCAGACUCUCCAUCUGGGCCCUGGAUCCCAUCUCUUGCUUACUCAAGGACAUCAGUCCAGCAUCCAAGGAGCCUCUUUUCCUACAUCAUCAAAUCUUCCUGCCUUACUGGAUAAUUCAUAUAAGCAAGCAGACGUGCUGUUAUUUCUUCUGGCAAGAGAGAAAAAAAAACCUCUCUGGACUGCAAUUUUCAUUCUAUCUAUGGUUCUACUUUGCUGUCUUUUGCAAGAAAAUCUCUCAGAAAUGCUGUCCACAUUUGCUCUUUCCAAUUCUUGUCCUCUCAUUCUCUCUUAAGUUCUUCCAACUGGGCUUCCGAUGCCAUCAUUCUACUAAGCCUAUUCCCUUCGAGGUUACUAAUGAUGUCCACAUGGCUACAUCCAAUGGCAAAUUCCUGGGCUUAUCAACUGACUCCUCCUCUGACCCAUUGGCAACUUCCUCCUCUUUGACACUCUUUCUACCCUUGACUUCCAGAACACUCCAGGCUUUCUGCCUACUUUAACUGGCUACUAUUUCUCCGUCUCUUUUGCAGGUUUCUUCUCCCCUUUGGGACACAACAGUUCAGUGUUCUGAACUGGUUACAUUCACCCCUGGAUGAUCCGAUGACUUAGGUCUAUAUGCUGACAAUUCCCAGAUGUCUGUCUAGCCCAGAUCGUCCCACAACUCUAGACUCCUAUAUCUAACACCUCCACCUGAAUUUCCAACAGACAGGUCCAAUUUAGUACAACAAAAGCUGACCCCACAGAGAGUCAUCCCCAUCUAGUUAAUUGGUGACUCCACCCUGCCAGUUGCUUGGUCCAAAAAUGUUGAUGUUAUUCUUGACUCUCCCACCACAUAAUCCAGGAAGAAAUCAUUUUGACUCUGCCUUAUCUUCAAAAAUAUGUCAGAAUCUGAUCACCUCUAACUAUUUGCGCCACCAAUAUGGCUUUCUUUUCUGGACUACUACAGUCAGUUUUCCAGCUGGGGUCCCAGAUGCCACCCCAGCCCCUAAAGUCCAUUAUGAACACAGCAGCCAUAGCAACUCCUUGAAGAUGGGGCUCACACUAUGUCACUCCUGUCCUCUGUUCAAACACUGUUCUCAGUCCUUCAAAAGGUCUUCAAAGCCCUGACCCCACCCCACCACCUCUCUAACUCAUGGAGGUCCAGUGGAUGGCUCUCCUGCUAUUCCUCAUCAUUCCCGGUACUCUCUAGCCUCAGGGCCUCUGCCUGGAAUGUGCUUCUGCCCACAACCCAUAUUGAUAACGCCUUUACCUCCUUCCAGGUUUUGAUCAUCCCUCACCUUCUCAAUGAGACAUGCAUGGCCUACUCUAUUUACAAUCCUGCGACAACACACCUUUUCCACAGCACUGACUUUGGAGCAUACUAAAUACUUAUUGUUAACCAUCUGCCUCCCUCCUGCUAGAAUGUAAGCUCCACAGGGCAUUGGCUUCUGUCUGUUUUCAUCAUUGAUGUUUCUUCUGCACAGAAACAAGGUCUGACACAUAGUUAAUUGUCUCAAGAAUAUUGGAUAAUGAAUGAAUGCGUAAAAACAGCUAUCAAUUUUUGGUCUCUUCUCAUCUUUAUGCAUUCUCUCAUUUUGCGAUAUUUCAUAUAAUGUGAUUUUACAUAUAUGUUUUGAUAUUGUAAUAACAGAACUUUUAUUCUUAUUAAUUUAAUGUGAAGAUUAUAUACAUAUUAUAUUGAUCAACUUUUUCUGAAAAGGGCCAGAUAGCAAAUAUUUUAGGCUCUGAAGGUCAUGUACUAUUUAUCAUGUAUGUGUGUGUGUGUGUGUGUGUGUGUGUGUGUGUGUGUAUGAUGUACUAAAUUGGACCUGUCUGUUGGAAAUUCAUGUGGAGGUGAUAGAGAUAGGAGUCCAGAGUUAUGGGAGGAUCUGGGCUAGACAGAGACAUUUAAGAAUUGUCAGCCUAUAGACCUACAUCAUCAGAUCACCCAGAGAUGAAUGUAAAUAGAAAGGAGGUAAGGACUGAGGACCAAGACUCAGAACACUGAACUGUUGUUUCCCAAAGGGGAGACAGAACCCUCAAAAAAAGACGGAGAAAUAGUAGCCAGUUAAAGCAGGAAGAAAGCCUGGAGUGUUCUGGAAGUCAAGGGCAGAAAGAAUGUCAAAGAGGAGGAAGUUGCCAAUGGGUCAAAGGAGGAGUCAAUUGACAGGACUGGGAAUUUGCCAUUGGAUUUAACUGUGUGGAUGUCAUUGGUGACCUCAAAGAGUGAUGGUGUCAGAAGAGAGAUAUAUACAUCUCCCAAGUCUUUACGUUCUUAGCUUGUAGCUGUUUACAAAUACCUGCAGACUUAUAUAUUAUGAUUAACAUAAUUAACCUCAUCAUUGCACGUAUUAUUUCCAGUAUGUUACUAUUACAAAUUCUAUUCAAUUAAUAAACUUUUGUCACUUGCCUUUACUUCCAGUUUUUCCUAUUUCAUUGUUUUCCUUAUUAUUUUCCCAUUUUCUUUAUUAUUUCUUUUAUUAUUUAAGAAGUCAAAGAACUAUUCCCAUAACAUGGCAUAAAUUUAUUAUUUGACCUUUUAAAAUUGUUCUACUAUUAAUAUUUUAAUUCUAAAACAAUACAUGCUCAUUAUAGAGAAUUUGGAAAACAAAAAUUUAAAGAAGAAAAUAUAAAUCACUAGUAGAUACAAUACUCAGGAGUAGCCAUUAUUUUGUGGGCUUUUUCCAGUGAUUUUUUUUUCUAAGCACAUGUAUAUGUUCUUUAAAAAUAACAAAAUUAGGAUAAUACUAUAUGUAUAUACAAGUAUUCUUCUUGAAAUUCUUUUCUUAGUCAUGAAAGCAUUUUCUAAUAUCAUUAGAAAACAUGUUUUUUUCAAUAGUACCAUUUAGAUGGCUACAUAAUGUAACAUUAACAUUAUAUAACAAUUUAUUGCAAUGCUUUUCUGGAGUUUCUGACUAUUUUUAGGUUGGAUUCCUGAAGAAGAAUUGUGCUUGUUUAAGUCUCUUUUUUACAAAUGCUCUUCUAGAGAGGAUGGACCAAUACUCGGUCGUUUGAGCAAUAUGAGGUGGGGCUGUUUCUCUGUGCAUCCCUCACCGUCAAACUAGGGACAGUGACAAUUCAAUCACUCAGUCACUUCUCAACAUCCUGACCUUGCUGGAUACCUGCUAUGUCUUCUCUGAUCUUUUACCUGUAGCGCAGCUUUUAAGAGCCCAUGUUGUAGAAUUACACAAACAUAGGUUUAAAUCUUGAUUCGGCUGCUUAGUAGUUAGUCUGACCUCGGCCAAGUAUUUACAGUACUCCAUUUCCUCACUUCUUAAAUGUGGAUGUGAUAUCUACUUCAUGAGCUGCUGUGAGGAUUAAAUGACACAAUACAAGUAAAGUGCUCAAAACAGUAGUUCCCCUAGAAAGUUAGCUUGCCUUAGAUCUAACUCCUUCUAUGAAUUGUCUCUCUCUCCCUCUCUUUCUCUCUCUCUCUCUCUCACACACACACACACACACACACAGACUCACACACUUGUUUUCUUUUUUUGAGACAGGAUCUCACUUUGUCACCCAGGCCGGAGUGCAGUGAUGCAGUCAUGGCUCACUGUGGCCUUAACCUCCCAGGCUCAAGCGAUCCUCUCACCUCAGCCUCCUGAGUGGCUGAGACCAUGGGUCCGCGCCACCAUGCCUGGCUAUUUUUUGUAGAGACAGGGUCUUGGCAUGUUGCCCAGGCUGGUCUCAAAUUCCUGGGCUCAAGAGAUUUGCUUGUCUCAGCCUCCCAAUGUGCUGUGAUUACAGGCAUGAACCACCACACCCGGCCCACUUUUUAAAAAAAUGUCAGACUUCUUUUAUGACUUUUCUGGGCUCUUGAAAUUUUCAGUUAAAAAUUGUUUUGUUACUUCCAGAGAAAAACGUUUCCUUUUGCCAUUAGUCUUCGGGUUUACCUGGUUGACCCUUGAUGACAAUCAGAAAUUUAUUUAAGAUAAUUUUAUUGGUAGUUUUGAUUUGUAAAGGAGAACUUCAGAGUUGCUGCUCACAUGGGCCCUGCCCAGUGGUCUGCUACUUGGCAGGGCAGCCAAAGCAUUUACACCUCCUGCAAAGCUUCAACCCCUUCCAGAGGAGCCGAUGUCUAAGCUGAGAGGCAACUAGCGAGGUAGACAGGACUGAGAAGGCCAUUCCCAAAGAGAGAGGAGGCAAACCAGAGGGAGAUGGGGGAAGGUUGCAGCCAAGCUGCUGGGAGCUACAGCCCUGCCAAUCUGCUAACCCGAAACUCCCAAGCGGGAGUCAUGAGGACUAUAGUGGGCAAUUAGAACUCACAUCAUCACAUAGCUCUGGUAGAGCACUAACUUCUGCCCAUCUCCCUUUCUUUUUAUUGA